UCAGUCGAGCUGUGCGUAUUAUGUCAACAUCAACAGCAUUGUAACGUGCCACAAUAUAACUGUAGAGGCUCUCAAGCGCAUAAAGGCGAAGAAAAAAUGAAAAGAAAAAGAUGUGGAGCAAAAGCAGCUGAAAAUGAAACCGAAUCCCAAUCAAAGUGCCAAGUGGCUGUAAAUUGUGUGCAACGGUUUUUUUUGAAGGGGAGAGAAAGAGAGAGAUCUUGACUCUUGGUUUGGGCUCUUGUGCGCCGCUGCGUUUGGUUUAGGGCUUAUUGAAAACCUUCACGCUUCAAAGUGAAGGACUUUAGCGGCUGCGUGCGGUGUUGCGUGGCGGUAGCGGCAAUGACAACAGCGGCACGACUCCGACCCCGGCUCUUGCAAUUUGGUGGCAACAAGAUGAAAGUCAACACUUAACACUCUCAACAGCAGCGGAGGCAGCGGAGGCAUCAGAGGCAGCUCAAGCUUGAGCCCGACUUCAAUGACUAUGCGAUAAAUCAUUUUUUUUUUUUUUUCUUGUCUCUGUCUUAAAUUAUUUUUAUCAGCCUGUAGUAUUGUUGUAGCUACAGCUGCUGCCACUGUCACUUUAGGUUUUAAUUUGGUUUAUUGUGGUGCUGUCUUGAGAUGCCUUGUGAAGGUCUCUCUCUCAAUUUAUUUCGUAAUUGUC